rnacentral:pre_miRNA from 1 species
ACUGUAAUUGCUGAUUCAUAUGGUAAGAAUAUGUUUCACUUUUAAGAAAUUGCCAAACUAUUUUCCAAAGUGGUUGUACCAUUUUAUAUUCCCACCAGCAAU